ACAUUUCGUGCGGCUUCGAAUUGCGUCUCAGUUUUGGUAUCUGUAAGUUUACAUUCUGUUCGGCUCGAUCGCGUUCGCGAGGGAAACAUUCCGUGUAUUAGUACGCAACGAACCCCAGUCAGGGUCGGUCACAAAGUGUAAAGUGUAAAAUUUCGGUUACGAAGUGUUCUAUAGUGCCGGUUCUAACUUGCAAUGGAAUUUAGGAGAAUGCAGUGGAAACGAUCGGAAUUACGACUUUCGUAGCGAACACCUGUAAAGAGUCGGCUAUUUUAAUACAGUUUUUGUAUCUCCACAAAAGAAUGCGUGGCGUCCAGAUACUAUGUUACCGAUUGACCGAUUUCCCGUGGCGUUAAACACCUGCGUGUGCAUACAUGUGGAAGCAUGGUAACGUGUCGCGUGUCGACACGAGGACAACUAGCCGAUACGCAGCGUCCCUGAUACUGGUGAUGGCGAUGCCGGUGGCGGAGCCGGUACUAGUGGUGGUGGAAGGCAACAUGCCAAACUGUCAGACAGCUAGCGAUGUGCAGCUCGGCUACACGUGUUCACAGGCCCAACUGUAAGCAUCCGUAUGCCAAUACGACGCGGCUCCGACUCACCCUUCGCCCUUUCACCGCCCAAACGCUUUAUACUACGGCUAUUUGAUAACCCUUUAACGUCACUGUGACCUACUAUGCUGCGUUUGCA